rnacentral:rRNA from 1 species
AGAGUUUCAUCCUGGCUCAGGACGAACGCUGGCGGCGCGCCUAACACAUGCAAGUCGAACGAGAGAUGAGGAGCUUGCUCUUCAAAUCGAGUGGCGAACGGGUGAGUAACGCGUGAGGAACCUGCCUCAAAGAGGGGGACAACAGUUGGAAACGACUGCUAAUACCGCAUAAGCCCACGGCUCGGCAUCGAGCAGAGGGAAAAGGAGCAAUCCGCUUUGAGAUGGCCUCGCGUCCGAUUAGCUGGUUGGUGAGGUAACGGCCCACCAAGGCGACGAUCGGUAGCCGGACUGAGAGGUUGAACGGCCACAUUGGGACUGAGACACGGCCCAGACUCCUACGGGAGGCAGCAGUGGGGAAUAUUGCACAAUGGGGGAAACCCUGAUGCAGCGACGCCGCGUGGAGGAAGAAGGUCUUCGGAUUGUAAACUCCUGUUGUUGAGGAAGAUAAUGACGGUACUCAACAAGGAAGUGACGGCUAACUACGUGCCAGCAGCCGCGGUAAAACGUAGGUCACAAGCGUUGUCCGGAAUUACUGGGUGUAAAGGGAGCGCAGGCGGGAGAACAAGUUGGAAGUGAAAUCCAUGGGCUCAACCCAUGAACUGCUUUCAAAACUGUUUUUCUUGAGUAGUGCAGAGGUAGGCGGAAUUCCCGGUGUAGCGGUGGAAUGCGUAGAUAUCGGGAGGAACACCAGUGGCGAAGGCGGCCUACUGGGCACCAACUGACGCUGAGGCUCGAAAGUGUGGGUAGCAAACAGGAUUAGAUACCCUGGUAGUCCACACCGUAAACGAUGAUUACUAGGUGUUGGAGGAUUGACCCCUUCAGUGCCGCAGUUAACACAAUAAGUAAUCCACCUGGGGAGUACGACCGCAAGGUUGAAACUCAAAGGAAUUGACGGGGGCCCGCACAAGCAGUGGAGUAUGUGGUUUAAUUCGACGCAACGCGAAGAACCUUACCAAGUCUUGACAUCCCUUGACGAACAUAGAAAUAUGUUUUCUCUUCGGAGCAAGGAGACAGGUGGUGCAUGGUUGUCGUCAGCUCGUGUCGUGAGAUGUUGGGUUAAGUCCCGCAACGAGCGCAACCCUUAUGGUCAGUUACUACGCAAGAGGACUCUGGCCAGACUGCCGUUGACAAACGGAGGAAGGUGGGGAUGACGUCAAAUCAUCAUGCCCUUUAUGACUUGGGCUACACACGUACUACAAUGGCGUUAAACAAAGAGAAGCAAGACCGCGAGGUGGAGCAAAACUCAGAAACAACGUCCCAGUUCGGACUGCAGGCUGCAACUCGCCUGCACGAAGUCGGAAUUGCUAGUAAUCGUGGAUCAGCAUGCCACGGUGAAUACGAUCCCGG